rnacentral:rRNA from 1 species
UAGUGGCGAACGGGUGAGUAACACGUGGGCAAUCUGCCCUUCACUCUGGGACAAGCCCUGGAAACGGGGUCUAAUACCGGAUACCAGNUCGNNAGGCAUNUCCCGNACUGGAAAGCUCCGGCGGUGAAGGAUGAGCCCGCGGCCUAUCAGCUUGUUGGUGGGGUAAUGGCCUACCAAGGCGACGACGGGUAGCCGGCCUGAGAGGGCGACCGGCCACACUGGGACUGAGACACGGCCCAGACUCCUACGGGAGGCAGCAGUGGGGAAUAUUGCACAAUGGGCGAAAGCCUGAUGCAGCGACGCCGCGUGAGGGAUGACGGCCUUCGGGUUGUAAACCUCUUUCAGCAGGGAAGAAGCGAGAGUGACGGUACCUGCAGAAGAAGCGCCGGCUAACUACGUGCCAGCAGCCGCGGUAAUACGUAGGGCGCAAGCGUUGUCCGGAAUUAUUGGGCGUAAAGAGCUCGUAGGCGGCUUGUCACGUCGGGUGUGAAAGCCCGGGGCUUAACCCCGGGUCUGCAUCCGAUACGGGCAGGCUAGAGUGUGA